rnacentral:rRNA from 1 species
GAUGAACGCUGGCGGCGUGCCUAAUACAUGCAAGUCUAGCGAACAGAUGAGGAGCUUGCUCCUCUGACGUUAGCGGCGGACGGGUGAGUAACACGUGGAUAACCUACCUAUAAGACUUGGAUAACUUCGGGAAACCGGAGCUAAUACCGGAUAAUAUAUUUAACCGCAUGGUUCAAUAGUGAAAAAAGGUUUUUCUGUCACUUAUAGAUUGAUCCGCGCCGCAUUAGCUAGUUGGUAAGGUAACGGCUUACCAAGGCAACGAGGCGUAGCCGACCUGAGAGGGUGAUCGGCCACACUGGAACUGAGACACGGUCCAGACUCCUACGGGAGGCAGCAGUAGGGAAUCUUCCGCAAUGGGCGAAAGCCUGACGGAGCAACGCCGCGUGAGUGAUGAAGGUCUUCGGAUCGUAAAACUCUGUUAUUAGGGAAGAACAAAUGUGUAAGUAACUAUGCACGUCUUGACGGUACCUAAUCAGAAAGCCACGGCUAACUACGUG